rnacentral:rRNA from 1 species
UACGGAGGGAGCAAGCGUUACUCGGAAUUAUUGGGCGUAAAGGGCGCGUAGGCGAUCUGCCAAGUCCUGUGUGAAAGCCCAGAGCCUAACUCUGGAAGUGCACAGGAGACUGGCUGGAUUUGAGUUCAGGAGAGGAAAGCAGAAUUCCCGGUGUAGCGGUGAAAUGCGUAGAGAUCGGGAGGAAUACCAGUGGCGAAGGCGGCUUUCUGGACUGACACUGACGCUGAGGCGCGAAAGCCAGGGGAGCAAACGGG